AUGCUCAAAGUGUGGCUGCAUGUUGUGGUUCGGCAAAUUCAGCAGCUGUGACCGGGUAUUUUGAUGCUUGGGAAUCAGCAGCGGGGAUAGAGUCCAAAAUGUACGAGGAUAACAAUAUUAAAAUGUGCAGUAACGUGCCUACUGAUGAUGUGGACGAAUGGAGCAAUGUGUCUUUUGGACAUCUAUUGGCACUAGCACAUGCUGCUGGUGGCUCCACAGUCACUACUGAAAAUGCAAAUGUUGAAACUAAUUUUACCUUGAAUGGCUCUUUCAAUUCGCUCGUCAGUUUACAGGAUGCAGGUAAAGAAUUGAAAUAUUCAUUGACUCGUCACCAUGGAAUAAUAGAAAUGCAUAACACCUGUAGAAACUUCAAAGUUACGAGAGUCACAUUCCUUGUAUAUGUCAUAAGUGUCUUCAAUGUGGCUCAAUGGCUGUCUCUUGAUGGAUAACUAAGACCUGCAAAAGGAUAGAGAACAGAAUAGAAUAAGAAAACUAAUCAGUGUAGAUUCAAGUAAAAUUACAAUUCCUAGUGGAUAAAUUACCUAGUAUUCAGUUGAACAUUCUAGUGAACACUUCAUAAAGUUGCAAUUAGAUGAGCAACGGAAUCAGGUACCUCGUACUAAAGUCUGAGGUGAAACAAACUGUGAUGUGUAGCAUAUCUGACUUGUGUUUCUCUGAUUGUGUACACUAUUCAAUAAGUGAUGCUUUCUCGAUUAGUCCUGUUAAUUUUUUCUUUUGGUUUAGCAUAGUCAACCGGAAUCGUUAAAAAAGAGCUGCUUUCAUUCUGAGAUUUCUUCAAUAUACUAAUAUGAAAGAUUUGUGUAUCAUGCAGAUGGAAGCUCUACUUGCUCGAGAUUCCUUUUUAACCUGAAUUCACCAACUAGAAUGACAGAUGAGGUGUUGAGCAGCAACAAUGCAUUCCAGUUUGAACCACUAACACCAGCUCAGAUCAAGAACAAAGGACCAACAUCUGAUGCGCCAAGGCUAGACAUUAACGAGACGCCAAUAGCAAGGGGUGAACGGUCGAGAAAAGAUACAUUAAAGAGAGCAGAACCAAAUUAUCCCCAACAGAACAAAGAGCAGAUAGGGCUAGCCUUGAAUAUAUCAGGAUUGCAGGAGAAUCGCAUCAUUGGCAGGGCGGAUGAACAGGAUGCUGAACAGAAUAAUACACCACAGCAGAAACGAAGGAAGAAGCACCGGCCUAAAGUGGUAAUAGAAGGCGAGCAAAAAAGGACUCCUAAACCAAAAACUCCGCAGCAGCAUAGUUCAAAAGAAACAAAAGUAGAAAGGAGGAAAUAUGUUCGACGAAACAAGAUUGAGGAACCUCCAGGCAUACCCUCACCCAUGGUAAACGAUAUGACUAGACUUGAGGGCCAUCUUCCUAGUUCUGCAAAAAUCCAAAGAGCAAAGAGGACCAAUUAUAGAAGAAAUCGAGUCAAGAAGCUCGCACCCAAUCCUGCCGAAGAGGGAACCGUUGAUCCACCAAAUGGUUCUCGUCCAAGAAGAUUCCCCAGGAGAUCAUUGAAUUUUGAUUCUGAAAGUAGAUUAAGUGAAGAAAACUCAUCUCACUGGCCAUGUUCAACUGUGGAGGACUUGCAUGAGAAUCAGUCCAAUUCUAGUGUGCAUCCUGGAAAAGGUAGUGAAGCGACAACAGCAAAUAGAGAACUGGACUCAGUUUAUGACAUCACAUGUUUGAAUCCGGAGCUGAAAACUUGCCAAAAACAUAAUGAAAUGCCAUUCACUGAAACUCUGAAGAAGAUUGGCCAGAAUCAUGGUAAAUUUACCAUGAGCAUUCAAAAUGGAAUCUCAAGAGGGAAGUGUAAAAUCGUUUUCUCAGAUGAAACUCAUGAUAAACAGGCAAGCAUUUUAGAAAUGACACCAAAGAGCCCGAAUAGUUCCAACUGCAGCAGGAGCACAUGCUUAAUCCAGGAAACACCAGAAAGAACCUUGAAAAGACGAUCUUCUUUUAGAACUGAUGAAGCAAACCUUUACAGCACAAACGUCAGGGGAACUAAUCUCAACUCCAUGCAGGUGUAUCAUGCAAUUCUCCCAGCAAAUGAACCUUAUGCUCUGAGUACCCAACAGAUGCUUUUUCCUGCAAUUUACAAGAAAAAGAGGACAGAGAAGGGUCAUCCCUCAGCAACAUCUAGCACAAAGCCUUUUACAUGUGAAAUUAACGCUCUGUCUUUGUCUCGGAGCAACAUUGGCCUUUCCCAAGCUAGUACGUCUGCAAAUGAUAAAGCUAAUAAUUUAAUGCAGAAUCUGGAACUUGUACCGGCAUUUGUGGAAGCAGAGGGGUUAAGAAGAAAAAGAUCAAAAAGCAUAAGUAAAGUACGUGACCUAGCAUCACUACUUGAAAUUUGUAAGCACUUUCCUACUCCUCCAGUCAAAGAAGCAGUGGUAUCUCAAUUUGGAGAAAGAUCUGAAAACUCAGAUCAGCCUAAUACAUGCAUCGAAGCCCUGGUUGCCGACACCCGUGCAAUAGUGAAAACGAAAAAGCGGUCAAAGAGAAGCAUCCUAGUCAGUUCCAGACCACAGUUCAUAACAAAUGCAAGAGGUAGUUGAAUGAAUAUUCUUAACUUUCACAUAAACAUAUCAAAUAAGAUGUGGACUUGAAUUGCUCACGAAAUUGGAUGCAGGUUCCAUACCAGCUAUAACUUGGAAAUCUCCAGUUGAUGAAAUUGUCGAUCGUUUACAACAUCUCGAUUUAAAUAGAGAAGACAUCCAUCAAUACCAAUAUGCGGAAAAUGCCCUUGUUAUUUAUCAAAGAGAUGGAAGUCUUAUCCCUUUUGCAGGAUCAUUUGUUAGAAAACAACGACCGCGCCCCAAGGUCGACCUUGAUGAUGAGACCACUAGGGUAUGGAAGCUCUUGCUGCAAGACAUAAAUAGUGAAGGCAUUGAUGGUACAGAUGAAGACAAGGCAAAAUGGUGGGAAUCAGAACGUGAAGUGUUUCAUGGACGAGUAGACUCAUUUGUGGCACGGAUGCGUCUUGUUCAAGGUAAGUUACAAAGUUUUCAUAUCUUUCUAGCGACUAUCAAAUGAUGAUACUUCCUCACCCCCGAUCCCUUUGACUAGAAAAGCAGUCAACAUAAAAUAUUUGCUAGACUAAAUAGGAUCGGAAGUAUCACAAACCGUCACUAUCAACCAACUUGUGUUCUAAAGAUGCACUAGCAAUAAGCAAACCCAACUAUUCUAACCUGAAAAACAUAGAUGCACCUGCAAGGUCAAGAAGAAACCCAAAAUCCAACCCGACACGCACCUAUACACAUGAAUGGUCCCGUAAAGAGGAAGUGGAUUAUGAUGGAAGAAGUAAGUAUUUCCCUGUACUUCAUAUGCAAAAGUAUUAUAGAAUUGCACAUUCAUAUAAAUCAGCAAACUACUAGAUAAUAGAUAUCAUUUGUGAUGCAAAAUGACCUGCGACUAAACCCUUGUCAUGCCAAUAGAAGACAUGACUAGCACUAGCAUAUUAUACCAAUCAUCAACUUCAAACAAGUUUUCCAUGUUACCUUGUUGUUUUUCCUUUUAGUCGUCUAAACAUAUAGCUGACAAUGGGCCAUACUAUAAACAAUCAAGAUGUGCAUGUGACAUCAGUAUCUUUUGUUUCAUUGACCAUUUCUUCAAUUUUUUGUAUGAGACAGGAGACAGGCGCUUCUCUCCUUGGAAGGGAUCUGUUGUAGACUCUGUAGUUGGAGUUUUCCUGACACAGAAUGUCUCAGACCACCUUUCUAGGUAAGUUAAGACUUGAAACCAGAAUUUUAUUUUCCAUUUUCUGGUACAUCUAUAAGAAAUUUAAAAUAUUGAGUUCCAACAAAGUACUUUAUCCACUUUAUAGCUCUGCAUUCAUGACACUUGCUGCUCAGUUCCCCCUCAAGUCGGACAUUGGAGUGGAAAAGAAUGAAGAGGGAACAGGAAUCAUAAUUGAAGAACCCGAAGUGAGUGCCGUGGAUCCUGAUGAUACAAUUGGAUGGCAUGACGAUCAAUCAACUCAACCAACUUUCGGUCAGGAGUUUUUCAGUAUCUCCAGUGCAGAGUCAGACGAUGAAAAAACAGCUGUUCACAGCAGUGAAUCAAGUGAAAAUAGCUCUAACUGCACUAGUUCAACUGAAAAUUCUAUACUGCAGAAACCUGGUUCUUCUAGAGAAAGUUCAUGUGUGCAUCAUGAAUCAACAGCGUAUGGAUCGGGUACAGCCAAUGCAGCAACAAGUUUUUUGGGGGGUCAAGUAGAACAAGACGAUUUGCUCUCUUCACAGAAUUCUGUACUUUCUUCUCAAGACUCAGCAAAUUGUUCAGUCGUUCAAACUUCUGAAGGAACUGAAUCAAGCAACUUUUCAGGCUCCUCUUCGUUUUUGAAAUUUUUACAGAUGGCAGGGACUUCGAAAUCACAUGGAGUCCAGGAUCAGAAAAAUGAAAAUAUCUUACUGGAGAAGGAUACAAAUGGCCAACUAAAACAUGUGACAUGUUGUUCACACUUUCAGAAGGAUGAGGAGAGUAACAGAGGCUCAAUAGAAAAUGACUGUCCUUGCAAUUUCGGCUCAUGUACAAUGUCUAGUUCAGGGGCGCAACAAACCAAGUGCAAAGAAAAUUUGGAAGCACCUGCAAACUUUUCAGACCUCUCUAGGGAACUCGCAGCCCACGAACAAAGUAAAUUACCAGCAGAACCUGCAAAUCAAGCACUGAAUGGAGAGAUGAGUGAGACUUACAUCUCACGCAAUAACCAUCAAAAUAAGGUGUACGCAGCAACAAUGGAGAGCAACUACAAUAUGCAGCGAGUAGCAGAAGCACCAACAUUUUCAGAAGCCAUUGUAGAAGUCAGAGAGGAGGUCAGCGUAGUUGUUGAUUCAAGUAAGCCUGAGCACACUGCUUUGAGGUCAAACUCAAACAACGGAAAAAAUCAUGCUGGUAGCACAUUAGCAAAUCACAAUACUAAGGCUAAAAAGGAACACCCAGGAAAAGAGAAACAGAAGGUUGACUGGGACAGUUUAAGGUUACAAGCUCAGAGCAAUGGUAAGAAAAGAGAAAGGACAGCAAACACUAUGGACUCACUGGACUGGGAUGCAGUGAGGUGUGCCGAUGUCAAUGAGAUAGCCCAUACCAUUAGAGAACGGGGAAUGAACAAUAUGCUAGCGGAGAGAAUCAAGGUACGUAAGUGAAAUUGAAAUUAGCAGCCUAAUUCUUAAUCUGACACCUUCAUCAUUCAUCUACCUCAGUAAUUCCCAAACCUUAAAGAGACUGUUCAACGAAAACUGAACAAUUGCAGGAUUUCCUCAAUCGGAUUUUUAGAGAACAUGGAAGUAUCGAUCUUGAAUGGCUGAGAGAUGUUCCCCCAGACAAAGCAAAGUAAGGUUUCAAUUGACCAAAUAAUUUCUCCAAGUUAAUCGGUUAUUCCUCUGCACUGACUAAACAAAUUCACAUGCAUGGUAUAUCAGAGAGUAUCUAUUAAGCAUCAGGGGUUUGGGCCUGAAGAGCGUAGAGUGUGUGCGACUUUUAACUCUUCACAACCUUGCUUUCCCUGUAAGAUUUCUGAUCCAAUUUCUGAAGAGGUAAUUAAUUUGAAAUAGCCUGUGUUUCCACUAAUGAUGUCUUUAAAAAGGUCGACACAAAUGUUGGGCGAAUAGCUGUUAGACUAGGAUGGGUGCCCCUGCAGCCACUGCCGGAGUCGCUACAAUUGCACCUUCUGGAACUGUGAGUAUCUUGUGUUCAUAAAUCUUCUAAAAUAACCUUCAUAGUCCUAACUCUGCUGUAUUUCUACAGGUACCCAGUGUUGGAGUCAAUUCAAAAGUACCUCUGGCCACGUCUCUGCAAGCUUGAUCAAAGAACACUGUAAGUAACAUUCUUUCUCCAACACUAUUUUACCCAGGCCUGGUUGACAAGCAACAAUUUACUAUUAAAAGUAAGCGGUUCCAUGUAAGCUUAUUGAAACAUCCAAUUAUAGCAGUAUACUGCAUAGUGGAUGAAAAGGUUUUGAUUUUAAGGAAGUGUGGUACGGACUUACAGAUUAGGGUUGUCGAUUUCUUCGAAGGGAGUAAGAAAUGAUAUACAUGCAUAGUACUUGUAACUGAAAAGUUACUUUUUCUUCAAAUCAAGUGAUGUAUUUACUGAUUCAAAUCCAUACUUGAUUGCAGAUAUGAGUUGCAUUACCAUAUGAUCACUUUUGGAAAGGUAUGUCAAAACCAUUAGAUACUCUCCCCUAGAACUAGUGUAUAUCUGCAAUCACAGUUUAACUCAAUUUCAUUGCUACUUUAUUAGGUCUUCUGUACAAAAAGCAAACCCAACUGCAACGCAUGUCCACUGAGAGGAGAAUGCAGACACUUUGCAAGUGCUUUUGCAAGGUUUGCCUCUUAUUUAUAUACUUUCAUGCAAGAAAUUAGUUCUCUUGUUUGUCUAUCUUUAUCAGUUCUUCUCAAGCUUCUUUAGACCUAAUUCAAAGAAUCAUAGUUCCAAAAUGUGGCUGCCGAAACUAGAUUUGACGAAUCUACUUACUCUUAGUCUUAGAAAAUACAAUAUUUGCAUUUAAGCCAACCUGCCAGUAUUUUAACUCAUCCAUGAAGCGUAUGCGAAGCUGUCAGUCACUCAGUGAUGAAGCAGCUUCAGCUGAAACUUUAAUAUUCACAGAUCUCUUCUUGUAUACGAUAGAACUUUCUGCAUCUCAACUACCAAACUUAAGCAAAUACGCUUCUUGUCAGCACAUUCAAGUAACGGUUUAUAUAUAGAUUAGCAAUUUCAUUGUCUAAAAUUGACUGCACGCUGUUUCAUAUAUGGCACUUAACACAUUCUCUUUCUCUCUUUCAGCGCAAGGCUUGCCCUGCCAGCACCAGAAGAGAAAGGUAUUGUAAGUGCAACAGAGAACAAAGCAAGUGGCCAGAAUCCACUCCAGAAUUUCAACCAACAGCCGCUGCCCUUAACCCAGGCUAAUCAAAUACCAUUACAGCAUCCCAAAUUGAUCAACUCUGCACCUAUUAUUGAGGUGCCAGCAACACCAGAUCCCAUUGUCGAAGAGCCUUCCACACCUGAGCCAGAGCAAGUAGCUCCUGAAAUUGACAUUGAAGAUGCUUACUUUGAAGAUCCUAAUGAAAUUCCAACAAUUCAAUUGAAUAUGGCAGAAUUCACUCAGAAUGUGAAGAACUUUGUGCAAAACAAUAUGGAGCUUCAACAGGUCGAAAUGUCAAACGCCUUGGUAGCUUUAACUCCAGAAGCUGCUUCAAUUCCCCCACCUAAACUUAAGCAUAUAAGCCGGCUCAGAACUGAACAUCAAGUGUAAGUGGAUGCUCCUGAUAUCUACAUCAUGAAAUAGAAUAAAAAUGCCCAUAACAUCUGAUAGAUCACCCAAGACAGUAGGGUAGCCAAUUUUUUCUUAGGCUUUGCAAUUCUCAUAAAUUUGUUUUUACUUACUAUCAAUUGUUUCUCCAUCCACAGAUAUGAACUUCCGGAUUCUCAUCCUCUUCUGGAAGGGGUCAGUUCUUUUUUUUUCUUUGAUCGGUUAUACACUUAUACCACAUCGGUUUAAUAUCCAUAGAUAAACAGCAUGUAAGCUGAUCUUCAAAAUGAUCCUCCUGAUAGUUACGUCUUUGCAUGUUGCAGUUUGAGAAAAGAGAACCAGAUGAUCCAUCCUCCUAUCUGCUUGCAAUAUGGACACCUGGUAAGAUUUCGACUAUAGCAAUCUAACACAUAAGAGGAAUCCUUUUGAAAACCAUGCAAAGUAUCCAGUUCCUAUAAACCGAAUUACUGAAACCUGUGAACUGAUAAAUUAGAGAAGUCCUGUCUGUAAGGAACACUUCUGCAUAGCCAGGCUGCACUGAGCAAGCCAAGGUUCCAAUCUCAUCGUAGUAGCUUGCCUCAGUGGUAGACGUAAAUUGGCUAUAUAGGUUAGCUUUUCGCCAGGCUCUCUAAAUAGCUUAAUUCUCCCUUAUGUACCAAACCCAUAUCAGGUGAAACGUCGGACUCUAUUCAGCCACCGGGAAGACAGUGCAACUCCCAAGAAACUGGUAGACUAUGUAAUGACGAAACAUGUUUUGCAUGCAACAGCAUACGUGAAGCACAUGCUCAAACAGUUAGAGGGACAAUUCUGGUAAGAAUAAGAGAACAAACUGUUGUAGCGUUUGUCAUGGGAAAGUGAUACGAUAAUUCUAAUAUCUCUGGAUAUACUUUUCUAAUAGAUACCAUGUAGAACGGCUAUGAGGGGAAACUUUACGCUCAAUGGUACAUACUUUCAGGUUAACGAGGUGAAUACAAUCAACAUUUCCUCAACUCAAGCAUGCCAUACAUAAGCAUUUUUGCAGUUGAUAACGUUUUAAUAGUAGCACUUUUGCUAUUUCUCAGGUGUUUGCGGACCAUGACUCCAGCCUCAAGCCAAUUGACGUCCCAAGAAGUUGGCUAUGGAAUCUGCCGCGACGGACAGUUUACUUCGGAACCUCUAUACCAACAAUAUUCAAAGGUAAACAAACUAAACAAUGAAAUCUCAUUAAUUUUUAAAAAAGCUUUGGAAGUAAAAUAACAUUAAGUGUGUUCUCUGCUUUUCAGGCCUAACCACAGAAAGUAUCCAACAUUGCUUUUGGAGAGGUAUGUAGAUCGAAAACCUCAAGUCCCCAGCGGUCCAAAUGCUAGUCUUAGAUUCUUAUCUAUUUCUACCAAGUAAAUCAAUGAAAAGCGUGCACCUUACAUCAUUAUGCAAAUUAAAAAAACUAUCAAAUUAAGCUGGCAUAAGCAUCAAGCAUCAGAACAAGCAUGUCUGGCGAGUUCCCUUUUUGCCUUCCACACUCUCCAGACGAAAUCAUAAAAAAAAAAAUUAUGGGAAGUAAUAAUCCUUCAUGUAGCCAAGGGAAAGAAGUGUUAUCCCCUGCUGCAAAACCUUUUAUUUGUUUUCUGAUCAAGUACUGUAUUAUGCAGGGUUUGUUUGUGUGAGGGGUUUUGACAAGAAGACACGCGCCCCAAGACCACUGAUGGCACGGUUGCACUUUCCAGCAAGCAAGUUGAACAGGACAAGAGGAAAGCCAGAUGAAAACUAAGGAGCAGUAUCCUACUGAAUCAGCAAGGCAGCCGUCCAGGCAGAACAAGCUAACAUCAUUCAGUACCAUGAUGUUUUAAACCUUAGGAAAGAAAGAAGAUAGGCAUUGUCUUAACUUGUAAGUAAAUUGUAGCAUGAGAAAAUGAGGUGAUAAUUGAUUUACUUGUAGCUGAUACUUAGGAUGAUCAUUUCAGUUAGCGACGAUCAUUGAAUUCUUCAAUAGGCUAGUGCCCCUUUAGCCAACUGAGAUCUCAAAUUUAGUUGGUUCUCAUUCUUUUCUAAGGAUAGAAAAGAAAUAAAAAUUGAUACUCUUCCUGGCAACCAGUAUACUUGGUUUCUAACUUACAGAAGAGCUGGUUUUGGCACUGCCUCACAAACAUGAGGCAAAUUUUAAGCCUAAACUAUAUGGUAGUGUGGUAAAAGGAAAGAUAUCUCAUAAGUAAAGCAAGUACAUGUACGGCAUGCAAAAGUAGCAUCUACAAAACAGGAGCUGUACCAAAAUGCUGCUAUCAAGUAGUAAUAGCUUGAACAAGUAAAUAAAGCUAUAAUGUAAACUGUCUCAACUAAACAUAAGUAGGACUCGAGGGUAAACAUAAAAACCAGGACUUGCAAAGAGUAUACCAAUAUGCUCAUGAUACUAGCACCCUGGUAGAGAUUACAUUAUGAAUGGGGAUGUCAAAUAAAAUUUGUAACCCUAAAAAGAUAUAACUAUAUAAUAUAGGAGAGGAAAAUAUCUAUUAGGGCUUAUGCUAUAAAAUAAAUUAAGUUCAUAGAAUAAGCAUUACUAGAUAUUUUUCUCUCCUAUUUAGUUGAGGUCCAUCAAAAACAUCCUCGUUGAUUCUACGAGGUCGAGGUAAGAUCUGCGUAUACCGUAUCCUCUUCAGACUCUACUUGUGGGAUUACACUGGAUACACUGGAUAUGUCUACUUGUGGAAUGACACUGAAUAUGUCGUUGUAGUAUACAUAAGUAUCUUUUCGGGUCCCAAAUAUAAUUUGGCAUGCGCCCACUCAUAUCAAAUGAGCUUGAAAUAAUACCCUAUUCAUACUUCAUAAGUUGACCAAGAAAAUACAUCUAUCAAAUGUGUUUGCAACUAAUAGCUGGUCAUACAGUUUUGAUAAUCACAACUGAAAGGAGAUGCACAAAGACACUAAAUGUUCGAACGGUUGUUUUGUUCUUAUAUCAUACCUUUGUUUGAAGCAUCAUCAGAUCAUGGGGUAGCAUCUCUCAACCUGCACAUAAGCAUUAGCUAGUAUAAGAUGAGCAUAAACAUGCGCAGUAGCAUAUUUUGAACCAUAUAUCUGAUUCAUAACCAAAAUCCCUUGAGUUUGACGUCUCAAUAGAUACAUCAUUAACUGUGUGGUUUCUGACACACAGAAGAUGCGAAGAAAAGCAAACAAACUCGCAUAGCUCAUUCUUUCGAGCUAAAGCACAUUAAACACCAAGAUAUAUAACAAAGUGAAUAACUCACAUUCAUCUUAAUCCACGAUCCCCGUAUUAUAUGAUAUAACCAUUUUACACUUUAAUUUGCAAGUUUACAAACUUGUUAUAAGCAAUCAUAAGGACAUACCAUUGCGUGCACCUAUGAACAUGUUCCGCGAUAUAUUCAUCUCUUGCAGCUACAUGUAUUAUCACAGCAAAAUCGCACUGAUUUUACAAGCAAACAAACUCACAUAGCUUGUUCUUUUCGAGCUAAAGCACAAUAACACCAAGAUAUAUAGGAAAUAAACACACAACAACUCGCAUUCAUCUAAAUCCAUAAUCAAGAUAUAAAUCACUUUACACUUUAAUCUGCUAGUUUACGAACUUGUUACAAAGCAAUCAUAAGGACAUAUACCACUGCACACACCCACAAACACGUUCCACAGAUAUAUUCACCUCGCGCAUAGUUCAACGUACAUAAAUAUAUCACUGCAAAAUCCAACUGCUGAUCACAGAUUCCUCUAGAAAUAGCCAUUGAUGUUUAUAUUACUGUGUUACAACUUUAAUCUGACUACACCUAGCUUGCACAUAGAUCACCUCAAAAGGCAUCUAUUUCCUUGUUUUUGAGUAAUCACUUAACAGGAAUCCAAAUCACAGCGAGAUUUUCAUGUACUCAUAAUCAACGCUAUAAAUUCAAAUAAACUUCAACUCGACUACAAUUCGCACAUCAAUCACUUCAAAAGCAUCAAUUUUCCUGUGUUUCCGAAUAAUUACUCAACGAGUAUCUCAAUGACAGGUAGGUCUCAUGUACCCAUAAUCAACACUAUCAAUUCAAAUAAACUUCAUUGCAACUGCAAUUAGCACGUCAAUCACCUAAAAAGCAUCUAAUUUCAUGUUUUCAAAUAAUUAGAUAAGCAAAUAUCCCAAUGACAACAAUCUCAAAUACUCGUAAUCGAUGCUAUAAACUUCAUUUUGACUACAACUAGCACAUAUAUCACCUAAAAAGCAACUAAUUUCAUGUUUUCGAAUAAUUACUCCAAAAAUAUCUCAAUGACAGCAAUCUCAAAUACUUGUAAUCAAUGCUAUAUACUUCAUUUUGACUACAACUAGCACAUAUAUCACCUGAAAAGCAUCUAUUCUCAUGUUUCCAAAUAAUUACUCAACAAACAUCUCGAUGAUAGAGAGAUCUCAUGUGCUCAUAAUCAAUGUUAUAAAUUCAAAUAAACUUCAUUUCGACUACAAUUAGCACAUAAACCCCCUCAAAUGCAUCUAUUUCCAAAUAAUUACUUACCAAAUACUCAAACGACUGAAGUUAGCGACUUCAAAAAGAAAAAACAUCUCAAUGACAGAGAGAUCUCGUAUACUCAUAAUCAAUACUAUAAAUUCAAAUAUCAUUCAAAUAUAAUUAGCACAUAAAUCACCUCAACUACAUAUAUUUUCAAAUAAUUACUUGACAAAUAUCUCAAAUACUCUUAAUCAAUGUUAUAAAUUCAAAUAAACUUCAUUUUAACUACAAUUAGCACAGAAAUCACCUCAAAAGCAUCUCAGUUCAAGUAAUUACUUAACAAAUAUCUCAAUGAGCAAUGACUGAGAGGCCUGAUGUGCUCACUAUCAACGUCACAAAGAGAUCUCAUUUACACAUAAUGCUGUAUAUUCAAAUAAACUUCAACUCAACUACAAUUAAGCAUCUAUUUUCAAAUAAUUACUUAUAUCUUAAUGUCACAGAGAGAUCUCAUGUGCUCAUUAUCAAUACUGUGAAUUCAAAUAAACUUCAUUCUAACUACAAUUAACACAACAAUCACCUCAAAAAGCAUAUAUUUUCAAAUAAUUACUUAACAAAUAUCCUAAUGACACGGAGAUCUAACGAAUUCAUUAUCAAUGUCACAGAGAGAUCUCGUUUACACAUAAUCAAUGCUAUAUACUCAAAUAAACUUUAAAUCGACUACAAUUAAGCAUCUAUUUUCAAAUAAUUACUUAACAAAUAUCUGAAAGUCACAGAGAGAUCUCAUGUGCUCACUAUCAAUGUCACAAAGAGAUCUCGUUUACACAUAAUCAACUCUGUGUAUUCAAAUAAACCUCAACUCCACUACAAGCAUCUAUUUUCAAAUAAUUACUUAACAAAUAUCUUAAUGUCACACAGAGAUCUCAUGUGCUCACUAUCAAUGUCACAAAGAGCAUAUAUAUUUUCAAAUAAUUAACACAUCAAUCGCCUCAAAAAGCAUAUAUAUUUUCAAAUAAUUACUGAACAAAUAUCUUAAUUUCACAGAGAGAUCUCAUGUACUCAUUAUCAAUGCUGUAAAUUCAGAUAUUCUUCAUUUUAACUACAAUUAGCACAUCAAUCACCUCAAAAAUCAUAUACUUUCAAAUAAUUACUUAACAAAUACUCAUAACUAAUACUGUAUAUCCAAAUAAAAACAUCAAUAUACUUCAACGACGCUCCGAAAACUUCCGAACAAUCACGAAGAAGAUGAAUACUCAUAGCUCCAUAUAGAGAUUUUCGAGGUAUAUUAAUGGUAGAUUUGGAUAGUGAAACUGUUAAGUGAAGAGAGUGUGUGUGUGUGUUGGGGAGGGAGAUGCAGAGUUCUCUGUUUUAAGAAAUUUGGU
rnacentral:lncRNA from 1 species